rnacentral:lncRNA from 1 species
CGGCGGGUUCCUUCGGAAUUUGUCGAGAUACCCUCGGCGUAUGAAAUCGGCAGUACUUUCGAUGUUGUGGCCAUGGCCCCGAUGAAAUCGACAGUACUUUUAUCGGUCGAGGCCCUUUGCCUUCAAAGGUGGAGGCCAUCGCAGGUAUUCUUCCCCUUCGAUCUCCAUCAAAAUCUGCGCACGAGAAGCAGAGAGAGGAGUAUAGGAGUCAUACUUGGGAC